UUUGUAAAAUAUCUGAAUCAGAAACUAAUAACUAAACCUAAAAUCGAAAACGCUCUGAUUUGUUUGUUCAAAACCUCUCUCCAGUUACCGGAAAUCUCGUGUUGGGCGAAAGAAUCUGUCAUCUGAGAGAAGAAGCUAUAACAAUGGCGAAGAGAGAGAUCAGUAGCACUCUUAGAAAUCUUAAGUUUAUGCAAAGGUCUGCCUUAAAAGAGGAGGACAAGAAGAAGAAGAUUGAUGAGCCUAAUGCGAAUUUGACUCCUUCCCCCAGUUGUGUUAAAAAGAAGUGUGUGGUCAUAACAGACUGGGAUCCUCAGCCAGGAACAUUGUUAGGACGCUUGUCAUUUCACUCUUUCAACCCCUCUAUCCAGAAACUGAAUGAAGAGGCCAUAAGCGGUCAAAAAACAGAUGCUUCUCCCACAUGCUCUAGCAGUAAUGGAGGGAGGAUGUCCUUUAGUGAAUCCAAGGUUGAGACCAGCGCCGAAACAAAUGGUGACUUGAAAAGGAAACAGUCUGAGGAACAAAACCAUCCAACCAAGUCCCCACGGAGCAAUGACAAACCAUCACCAAGCAACAAACAAGGCUAUGGUUUCAAGAAACCCAAGAGCAGGAAAAGGCGGCCUGGAGCGUUUUGAAGCCCACCAAAACCCUCAAACCAAAAAAUUAGCUUAACUGCAGUCUGUCUACCUAGUUGAAAUUUACUUCACACAGGAAAGAUGAGAUGCAUUCCAUUCAUUGUAAACAAGCAGAUUCUACAAUACCAUUGGCAAACAAAAAAAAUGAAGCAAUAGAGAGCAGAAGAAGUAAAAACUUUUCAAACGAUGAUUAUAUGAUCAUCUCUCGUUGA